UAUAAGACGAAGGCGUGAUGCGGAGCGAAAUGAAGUAGUGAAGCUGCGGCCCCUUCCUGUCGAGAAAAGCCGCUAUCGUGUAGCAAGGGCCCGUACCGUAAACCGACACAGGUGGAUGAGGAGAGGAUCCUAAGGCCGGCGGGAGAAGUGUUGUUAAGGAACUCGGCAAAAUGACUCCGUAACUUCGGGAGAAGGAGUGCUGCGCAAGCAGCCGCAGAGAAAUGGCCCAAGCAACUGCUUAGCAAAAACACAGGUCUAUGCGAAACCGAAAGGUGAGGUAUGUGGGCUGACGCCUGCCCGGUGCUGGAAGGUUAAGGGGAGAGCUUAGCGCAAGCGAAGGUUUGAACUUAAGCCCCAGUAAACGGCGGCCGUAACAAUAACGGUCCUAAGGCAGCGAAAUUCCUUGUCGGGUAAGUUCCGACCCGCACGAAAGGCGUAAUGAUUUGGGCACUGUCUCAACAACACACCCGGUGAAAUUGAAAUACCAGUGAAGAUGCUGGUUACCCGCGCCAGGACGGAAAGACCCCAUGGAGCUUUACUCCAGCCUGAUACUGGGAUUCGGUAUUGCAUGUACAGGAUAGGUGGGAGGCUAAGAACUCAUGGCGCCAGCCGUGAGGGAGCCGAUGUUGGGAUACCACCCCUGCAGUACUGGGUUUCUAACCUGCGCCCGUGACCCGGGCGGGGGACAAUGUCAGGCGGGGAGUUUGACUGGGGCGGUCGCCUCCGAAAGGGUAUCGGAGGCGCUCAAAGGUCUCCUCAGGAUGGUUGGAAACCAUCCAGAGAGUGCAAAGGCAGAAGGAGGCUUGACUGCGACACCGACGGGUGGAGCAGGUACGAAAGUAGGACUUAGUGAUCCGGUGGCAUAAAGUGGGAUUGCCAUCGCUCAACGGAUAAAAGCUACCCUGGGAUAACAGGCUUAUCACUCCCAAGAGUUCACAUCGACGGAGUGGUUUGGCACCUCGAUGUCGGCUCAUCGCAUCCUGGAGCUGGAGCAGGUUCCAAGGGUUGGGCUGUUCGCCCAUUAAAGCGGUACGCGAGCUGGGUUCAGAACGUCGUGAGACAGUUCGGUCCCUAUCCGGCGCGGGCGCAGGAUAUCUGAGAGGAGCUGUCCUUAGUACGAGAGGACCGGGAUGGACCGUCCGCUGGUGGACCGGUUGUCAUGCCAAUGGCACGGCCGGGUAGCCAAGACGGGAAGGGAUAAACGCUGAAGGCAUCUAAGCGUGAAGCCCCCCUCAAGAUGAGAUAUCCAUACUCGAAAGAGUGAGAGACCCCUUAGAGACGAUGAGGUAGAUAGGGCAGAGAUGGAAGUGCAGCGAUGCAUGGAGUUGACUGUUACUAAUCGGUCGAAAGCUUC
rnacentral:rRNA from 1 species